rnacentral:rRNA from 1 species
GACGAACCGUGCGAACGUUGUUCGGAUUCACUGGGCUUAAAGGGCGCGUAGGCGGGCCAUCAAGUCGGGGGUGAAAUCUUUCAGCUUAACUGGAAAAGUGCCUUUGAUACUGAUGGCCUCGAGGGAGGUAGGGGCGUGCGGAACUUCCGGUGGAGCGGUGAAAUGCGUAGAGAUUGGAAAGAACACCGAUGGCGAAGGCACUUUACUGGGCUAUGACUAACACUCAGAGACGAAAGCUAGGGUAGCAAAUGGG